rnacentral:misc_RNA from 1 species
UUGCUGUUGUCUUUGUUGUUGU